ACAUCUUCAGUUGCCGAGCUCAAACCGUUACGAAAAAAGGUGCCUGAACAGCCUCGGUGAAAUUUUAUAACGAUUUCGUACAGUGAACGGGUGAAUUUGUAAAUUUUGUAACUUAUUUUUUAAGAACAUUUUUAAAAUGAUUAUAUAAAUUCAUUUAUGUAGAAUUUAUUCAAAAACAAAAUUUAUUAAGAAAACUGAAAAGUGAGUGAAAACAGAAGAAAUUCGACGCAAUUUAAAGUUUUAUUAAAACAAAAAAGGAAAGAAUUCGACCGAAGCCGAUUAAAACUUGAUCGAAAAGAUUUGUAAUAAUUUUACUGAUCAAUGCAGGAAGGAUGCAGCUGAAGUCAAAUAGAGGUCAAUCAAACAAAUUGGCGAUGUUUAUUAAUCGAUGGAUUAUCAAUGGGCCCAGCAUGUAAUAGCUUUUAAAAACUUCCAAUAUGAAAAGAAUAUUACCUGGUGAUAACAUAAUAAAUGUAUUAACAAAAGAAAUGGUCCGAGAUAAAGAAAAUGCUAUUAUGUUGGCACGUAUUUAUGUUGCACGAGGAUGUAGAUUUUAUAUCGAAUUGAUUUCUAACAGAGAUAGAAGAUGAGAUCGAUAGCGGAAAACGGAAAAACAGAAGUAUCUUCCGAAGAAGUUUAACAUGCAUCCGAGUUAUAUGAAAAUUUAAAAGUUGUUCAACGGCGAUGAUACGUAGCUUUGGUAUAGCUCGAAUUUAAAAGAAGGAAAGAAGAGAGAAUACAUAUCUACUUUAUGCGCAUAUUGAGAGCACAGAGAGCACAGAGAGAGAGAGAGAGAAAGAGAGAGAGAAAGAGGGAGAGCACAGAGAGAGAGAAAGCACAUAUUGAGUUACCAUAGUAACGAACUGCAGUACUUUAUUAUCGAGGAUUAUCGACAGCUUUCAGAAUUUUUUACCAAGCUUUUGGGAAUAUUAUAAAUGAACAUGCUAGAUUUAGAGACAAGGCAUUUUCUUUCCUUUUCACAAUUCUCGUUUUUAAACGAUUCGUGAAGCGACGUUUCCAUGUCCAUUACGUAAUCGAGAUAGAAUUGCAAGAAAUAGAAGACGGGAUAUAUAAUAGCAAAGAUUCUGCACUGUGAUACGAUAUGGUGAACUCUGACGUAACGAGACUAUCCUGGUGUAGUUUUACCAGGGUUUAACGGUAGAACGAGGGCACAAUUCUUUUUCAACGAAUCAAAAAGCAGGAUAUAAUUGACUGGGAUCAGAUAGCUUGUCAGAGUGCUGUCGGGCAUAGCAUGUGGAAUCUGAUCAAAAGUUGAUCUUUUUCUCGUACAAGAGAUAUUAUUUCGUAAGAGGAGAAUGUUUGACCUGGAAAUCAAUGCCUAUCUUUUAAUACUUGUGAACAAUAGUCAACAUUGUCAAGAAGAGAAAAUGACGAUCACUCACAAUACUGAGAUUUUCGUGGAUAUCGGACUAAUAAUAAUUUGCAUCGUAAUUGCUUGGAAAAUCAUAGACGCGAUAGUAGCAUUUAUUUUAAGGCUUUCAUAUAAGUAAUGAAGAAACAAAGGGGAUUAACGAUCACUCUAACAUGGAAAAUCUGUUAAUCGAUCCUGAAGUAGAAAGAGAAGAAGAAGAAGAAGAAGAAGGAGAGGAAAAAUUUGAAAACGAGGGUGAAGAUAAAGAGCCUAUACGCAUUUACGAUUUACUCGAUGAUUUUUUUUAAAUCUACUAGUAGACGAUAAUGAUCCCAGAAGUAAAUUUAAUUCCAAUUGAAAUUCAAAACGAUGUUGGUGUCUCCGAUUUGCCGAUCAUUGAUUCGGCAAGUCUCGAUUCGAAUUCGAAAAUGCCAAAGACGAUGUGUCGUAAAGACGAAGCUAAAUGGAUGAUCGUGACCGAUAGUAAUAAUAAUAUGGAAAGAACUGAGAAUAAUAUCGAUUAUAAGAGUGGAAGAUUUAAUCGUGGACUUAAGAACGAGUUAAAAAAAAUCAAAGUCAAAUAUAGGGAGGCUUAACUUUUCAAAAUGAUCAGAUCUGCAAAGACGUUCAAUACAUUUUAAUUAUAUGAGACAUUAAUUUCACGUUUAAAUCUUCGUUAUUCUAUUAAUUUAAAUUAAUCGUGAUUGAAUGAUUCGAUUUAACUGAAGAAAGAUAUUUUACAUUCUAUGUUCCAAUUUGUUUGUCAUAACAUUCACGACGUGUACUUGUAAAACAUAUUCCAUAACAAUAUUUUAUUUUACAAUAACGUUGGAUGAAAAUAUUCCACGAAAAUGUUCCACGAAAAUAUUCCACGAAAAUAUUCCACGAAAAUAAUUGACGGAAAUAUUCCACGGAAAUAUUCCACGGAAAUAUUCCACGAAAAUAUUCCACUUGACGUGUUAUUCAGAAAGGUAGCAGAACUAUGCGGCGAAUUUUCUCGUUAUAUUGGUUCUGAUAAUGAAAAUGCAUGAGUCGGUAUAUGUAUCGUCAGGUACCAGGAUUUAUUAUCUUUUUCGAUUUAUAUCUGCUCGAAUGCGUGCACAGGUACCGACGGCUCAAGUGCCAGGAAUGCUAACGAGAUCGUGCGUCGAUGUAUGUACGUGUAUCUGCAUAUAAUCCCCUCUUCAGAGAGCAAUCACUAGGAAUAUAAAACCUGUUUUUCUCUCGUAAAUCGUCUCAACGAUCCCUCUCAACAAAUCAUAGCGGAGUAACGGAUAAUAUAGUUAGCUAGACAACUAAAUUAGCAGCUUUAUUCAAUUAGUCGUUCGGCUUACGUCUGGAUUGCCUCUGAGAGCAUUGCCAUACGUCGAUUCAAUUACUUGAUACAGACGACUACAUUUUCCUAAAAUUAAAACAAUGUUCUCUUCGAGAAUUUUCCAAAAAAUUAUACAAUAUUACUUUCAGCUAUCUAGUAAUUCGUAUUCUACGUCCUAAACUAUAUAAGAAAAUAUUAUAAAUUAUUAUAUUCCUCUAAUCGUUUAUUUUUCAUUGCGUAUAAUCGUAUGUCGUAGUGAUUUUAUUAUAUUUCUAGUAAUAUAAUAUUUGGGAUUGUAUCGUCCGAAUGAUUUAAAUCCUCCAAAAACACACACACACACACAUAUAUAUAAUGUAACAUUUCCCCAACAUUUCCUUUAAUUAUUACUUGGAAUAAUAAUAGAGAUCCCUACCAUUAUACUUUUUUUCUAGCUAUCAUUCAAUCAGCCAUCAACAGAUCAACAUCGGCCAAAACGUAAGUUAUAAAUGGUGUAAAUAUAAAAUUACAAUCCUUCUAAAUACAAUCUUCUAAAUUCUCUA